rnacentral:rRNA from 1 species
UACAGAGGGUGCAAGCGUUGUUCGGAAUUAUUGGGCGUAAAGCGCGUGUAGGCGGCUUUGCAAGUCGGGUGUGAAAUCCCUCAGCUCAACUGAGGAAGUGCGCCCGAAACUGCAUUGCUUGAGUACCGGAGAGGAUGGUGGAAUUCCCCAAGUAGAGGUGAAAUUCGUAGAUAUGGGGAGGAACACCGGUGGCGAAGGCGACCAUCUGGACGGAUACUGACGCUGAGGCGCGAAAGCGUGGGUAGCAAACAGG